rnacentral:pre_miRNA from 1 species
UCUUAUGCAUGAGCAAAGAAAUUGAUAUCUUGAGAUGGACUUUAUUCCUGGUGAAGAUGCUGUGAA